rnacentral:rRNA from 1 species
UGGGGAAUAUUGGGCAAUGGGGGAAACCCUGACCCAGCAACGCCGCGUGAAGGAAGAAGGUCUUCGGAUUGUAAACUUUUGUCCCGCGGGAAGAAAAAAAUGACGGUACCGCGGGAGGAAGCCCCGGCUAACUACGUGCCAGCAGCCGCGGUAAUACGUAGGGGGCGAGCGUUGUCCGGAAUUACUGGGCGUAAAGGGUGCGCAGGCGGUUUUUUAAGUCAGGUGUGAAAUACCCGGGCUCAACCCGGGGGGUGCAUUUGAAACUGGGAGACUUGAGUGCAGGAGAGGGGAGCGGAAUUCCUAGUGUAGCGGUGAAAUGCGUAGAUAUUAGGAGGAACACCAGUGGCGAAGGCGGCUCUCUGGACUGCAACUGACGCUGAGGCACGAAAGCGUGGGGAGCAAACAGG